AUUGAACGCUGGCGGAAUGCUUUACACAUGCAAGUCGAACGGCAGCACGGACUUCGGUCUGGUGGCGAGUGGCGAACGGGUGAGUAAUGUAUCGGAACGUGCCCAGUCGUGGGGGAUAACGUAGUGAAAAUUACGCUAAUACCGCAUACGAUCUAUGGAUGAAAGCGGGGGAUCGCAAGACCUCGCGCGAUUGGAGCGGCCGAUAUCAGAUUAGGUAGUUGGUGGGGUAAAGGCCCACCAAGCCAACGGUCUGUAGCGGGUCUGAGAGGACGACCAGCCACACUGGAGCUGAGACACGGUCCAGACUCCUACGGGAGGCAGCAGUGGGGAAUUUUGGACAAUGGGCGAAAGCCUGAUCCAGCCAUUCCGCGUGCAGGAUGAAGGCCCUCGGGUUGUAAACUGCUUUUGUACAGAACGAAAAGGUUUCUACUAAUACUAGGAGCUCAUGACGGUACUGUAAGAAUAAGCACCGGCUAACUACGUGCCAGCCGCCGCCGUAA
rnacentral:rRNA from 1 species